rnacentral:rRNA from 1 species
AAUAGAUACCCAGGUAGUCCACGCUGUAAACGUUGGGCGCUAGGUGUGGGGGGCCUCUCCGGUUCCCUGUGCCGCAGCUAACGCAUUAAGCGCCCCGCCUGGGGAGUACGGCCGCAAGGCUAAAACUCAAAGGAAUUGACGAGGGCCCGCACAAGCGGCGGAGCAUGCGGAUUAAUUCGAUGCAACGCGAAGAACCUUACCUGGGUUUGACAUGGCCGCAAAACUCGCAGAGAUGUGAGGUCCUUCGGGGCGGUCACAGGUGGUGCAUGGCUGUCGUCAGCUCGUGUCGUGAGAUGUUGGGUUAAGUCCCGCAACGAGCGCAACCCUCGUUCGAUGUUGCCAGCGCGUUAUGGCGGGGACUCAUCGAAGACUGCCGGGGUCAACUCGGAGGAAGGUGGGGAUGACGUCAAGUCAUCAUGCCCCUUAUGUCCAGGGCUUCACGCAUGCUACAAUGGCCGGUACAAUGGGCUGCGAUACCGUGAGGUGGAGCGAAUCCCAAAGAGCCGGUCUCAGUUCGGAUCGGGGU